GCCAGUGUGGCGUUGCGGUUUGUGUACUGGAUUGCCACUCUGGAGACCAGGGUUCGAUUCCCUGCUCAGCCA